rnacentral:lncRNA from 1 species
CAAAUGAAUGAAACUAGUGGCAUAAUCAACCUCUUGCACCUAAAAUUCACAGUGAUGGUGAGUCUUACCAGAAUUUCUCUUCAACCCCCAAACUUUCCAUUACUCAUGCCACAGUACAAACAUUUCUCCUACCAUAGCCUCAGCUCUUUUAUGGUAACGGGAAACAAGGACACUGAGAAAGAGGGGUGACUCCCAGGGUAUGUCCACGUGAAGGUCUGAGGGCAAAAACUCCAAGGUCUAAGACCCGCUCCACUUCUCUGUGGCUCACAUACCUGAGGCUUCUGGACCUACCUAUUCCCUGGGCCUCACUAACGGGGAUGCUGUUCCCACUUGCCUACCUCCCAGGAGAGCCAGAGCGUUAAUUAAUGCCUGUCUCAUGCUUUGAAGAUAAAAUUAUUUAGAGAGGCAGGGGAGGAAGAUAAACAAAAUCAGACCUUCCUGGCUGGAUUAUGCCUGAGAUCCGUCUGGAUGUUUAGAGAAAGCCCGCAAAUCACAGUCCUCUAAAGCUCCCUGGAACCGAAUCUUCUGCAGGGAAGCCGUCCUCCUCCCCAACAUCCUCCCCUCCACGGCGUCACUGAAGGCCACCAUACCCUGGGGACCCUGUGUAUCUUCCUGAGUGGCCAACACCACUGGCCAGCAUGAGGCUGAAGGACAGCAAUGGUCUCUAUCCCUUACCCUGCAUGUCCCUUGAGCAGCUGAGCCAAGCAAGUCCCAUGUCCGGGAUGACCAAUUACACAUGACCAACUGUUGAAGGGAUUCAGAUCUACAGGGACCCAGGCAUAAGAAAAGGGUACCCUCCUACACUGCUGGUGGGAAGGUAAACUGGUACAACCACUAUGGAAAACAGUAUGGAGGUUCCUCAGAAAACUAAAUAUAGAACCACCAUAUAAACCAGUCAUGCCAGCCCUGGUCAUACAUCCGGACGAAACUACAAUCAAAAAGAUACACACACCCCUAUGUUCACAGCAGCACUGUUCACAGCAGCCAAGACAUGGAAACAACCUAAUGUCCAUCAGCAGAUGAAUGGAUUAAGAAGAUGUGGUACGUAUAAUGCACAACGGAAUACUACUCAGCUGUAAAAAGGAAAAAAAAAGAAUGAAAUAAUACCAUGUGCAGCAACAUGAAUGCAACUAGAGAUUCUCGUACUAAGGUAAGUCAGUAAGAGAAACAGAAAGACAAAUACCACAAGUUAUCACCUAUAUGUGGUAUCUAAAAUGUGAUAAAAAAUGAUCCUGUCUACAGAGCAGAAACAGACUCGAAGACUUGUGGAUGCCAAGGGGGAGGGAGUGGGAUGGACCGGGAGUUUGGGGUUAGUAGAUGCAAACUAUUACAUUUAGAAUGGACAAGCAAUGAAGGCCUACCAGACAGCACAGGGAGCUUUAUCCGAUCUCCUGUGUUAGAACGUGAUGGAAGCUAAUAUGAGAAGAAGAAGAUGACUGAGUCGCUUUACUGUACAGCAAAAAUUGACAGAACACUGUAAAUCAACGAUACUUUAAUUUUUUUUUAAAGUGGAAAAAAAAAAAAAAGAAAAGAAUUAACCUCCCAGCUUUGCCUUGGUAUCCUCACCGGAGGCACACUCGAGGCACACUCACUCAUAAGGAGAGGGGUCAGAGCCAAAGCCCGUGGUGGACCAAUGCUGUUGGGAGUUGCAGUGUUCCAGGUGGUAGCAAAGAGCAAAGUACUUCGCUUGGGGCUUCCUGGAAAACCCUUCCACUCCCCAGUACUCCUGUUCCGCUCUCAGGCAAAACAGCAUCUCCAGGAGAGGAAGGGGUGAUAGGUCAGAGGGUCAGAAACAGGAAAAGACCGAGGCAGGGGAUGUGAGCGGGAGGCCUGCCGCAGGCCAGCCGCCUCUGAGGUCCACAGCCUCGGCUGCCCAGUUCGGAGCAGGAGGAGCUCCGGCCCCAUCCGCCUUAUACAAACACUGAGGGAAGCAAAGGAAACAACGAGCCCUGGCUGCCAGUCUGCGUUUACAGAGAGCCACAGAGUCUGUUUUCUUACCCAUGCAGACAGCUUCUAAAUUAUGCAUUUCCCCAGAGCAGAAUUAUUUCUUCUCUCACUUCUCUUCAGGAGGAAACCCCAAAAAAAGUUCACAGGGCAGGGGUUUCUGGUUAUGUUCAGUUUCAAAUCUCAAUCUCAAAAUGUAUUCGAAGCCACCUUCUGAGGAAUCAGCAUUCAGAGUCAGCAUGAAACAUGAGUGUGUCACAUAAAAACACAAACACAUGCAUCAGACACCACAGCUCUGAACUUAAAAGAGAAAAAUGGGGAAUUCCCAUUAUGGCUCAGCAGUAAUGAACCUGAUUAUAUCCAUGAGGACAUAGGUUCAACCCCUGGCCUGGCUCAGUGGGGUAAGGAUCCGGCACUGCUGUGAGCAGCAGUGUAGGUUGCAAACUCUGCUCAGAUCCUGCGCUUCUGUGGUUGUGGCGUAGGCCAGCAACUGUAGCUCCGAUUCAAUCCUCAGCCUGGGAACUUCCAUAUGCCUCGAGUGGGCCCCUAAAAAGAUCAAAAAUUUAAAAAAAAAAAAAAAAAGGGUAAAAAAUGAGAAAAAUGGACCAUGUAAGUAAUAUCCCAGGCAACAUCUCAGGCUGCCGGGUGCUUGAAAAGCCUGCUAGAUGGUAGGCCUUGGACUCUGCUCUACAGUCACUCUGCUCCUCUUCCUCUUUCGUAAGAAUUCAUAGGCAUCCACAAAAGUGGCUCCUUCCCCGAGAAGAACAGAAAGAAAAAGGUGGCAGGCUGAAAUAGGAAUCUUGUUCAACUGGUACAGGGCAAACAAAGAAUGAGAGGGGAGGGAGUUCCCUUAGCGGCUCAGCAGUUAAUGAACCCAACUAGUAUCCAUGAGGAU